ACCAASSGGGAWUGCCUUAGUAACGGCGAGUGAAGCGGCAAAAGCUCAAAUUUGAAAUCUGGCGUCUUCGACGUCCGAGUUGUAAUUUGAAGAAGGCGACUUUGUAGCUGGUCCUUGUCUAUGUUCCUUGGAACAGGACGUCAUAGAGGGUGAGAAUCCCGUGUGGCGAGGAUCCCAGUUAUUUGUAAAGUGCUUUCGACGAGUCGAGUUGUUUGGGAAUGCAGCUCUAAGUGGGUGGUAAAUUCCAUCUAAAGCUAAAUAUUGGCGAGAGACCGAUAGCGAACAAGUACAGUGAUGGAAAGAUGAAAAGAACUUUGAAAAGAGAGUGAAAAAGUACGUGAAAUUGUUGAAAGGGAAGGGCAUUUGAUCAGACAUGGCGUUUGCUUCGGCUUUCGCUGGGCCRGCAUCAGUUUUAGCGGUUGGAUAAAUCCUCGGGAAUGUGGCUCUGCUUCGGUAGAGUGUUAUAGCCCGUGGGAAUACAGCCAGCUGGGACUGAGGAUUGCGACUUUUGUCAAKGAUGCUG
rnacentral:rRNA from 1 species